rnacentral:rRNA from 1 species
UAGGGAAUCUUCGGCAAUGGACGAAAGUCUGACCGAGCAACGCCGCGUGAGUGAAGAAGGUUUUCGGAUCGUAAAACUCUGUUGUUAGAGAAGAACAAGGACGUUAGUAACUGAACGUCCCCUGACGGUAUCUAACCAGAAAGCCACGGCUAACUACGUGCCAGCAGCCGCGGUAAUACGUAGGUGGCAAGCGUUGUCCGGAUUUAUUGGGCGUAAAGCGAGCGCAGGCGGUUUCUUAAGUCUGAUGUGAAAGCCCCCGGCUCAACCGGGGAGGGUCAUUGGAAGCUGGGAGACUUGAGUGCAGAAGAGGGGAGUGGAACUCCAUGUGUAGCGGUGAAAUGCGUAGGUAUAUGGAGGAACGCCAGUGGCGAAGGCGGCUCUCUGGUCUGUAGCUGACGCUGAGGCUCGAAAGCGUGGGGAGCAAACAGG